GUCUACAACCACACCACCCUGAACUCGGCCUGUCUCAUCUGAUCUUGGAACCUAAGCAGAGUGGGACCUGAUUGGUAUGUGGAUG
rnacentral:rRNA from 1 species